GAUGAAGAACGUAGCGAAAUGCGAUAAGUAAUGUGAAUUGCAGAAUUCAGUGAAUCAUCGAAUCUUUGAACGCACAUUGCGCCCCUUGGUAUUCCGAGGGGCAUGCCUGUUCGAGCGUCAUUAUAACCCCUCAAGCUCAGCUUGGUGUUGGGGCCUGCCGCACGGGCAGCCCUUAAAAUCAGUGGCGGUGCUAUCUGGCUCUAAGCGUAGUAAUUCUUCUCGCUAUAGAGUCCCGGUGGGUGCUUGCCAUUAACCCCCAAUUUUCUAUGGUUGACCUCGGAUCAGGUAGGGAUACCCGCUGAACUUAAGCAUAUCAAUAAGCGGAGGA
rnacentral:misc_RNA from 1 species